GGAAGUAAUCUUCAAGAUUCCUUUAAUAGAGUUUGAGGAGGGGGAUUAACCCAAUAGUUUAUGAGAAUUUAAUAUUUUCAAAAAGAAUGUAAUUAAAACUUAAAAUAUAUCUUCAAGAACAAACUAAAGUGGAUUCAAACUUGGGACUUCCUUCUACUUGGAGAUGCCUUGCACCACUAGAUUGGAAAGCUUCUCGUGCUGAUAAUGUGUUGUGAAAUAAUAUAAUAUAUAAUGAAAUGAGAGGGAUAUAACGAGAGAAUGAGAGAGAAAGG
rnacentral:lncRNA from 1 species